AACAUCGCCUCUUGCUCAAAUAUAAGAGGUCCAGCCUGCCCAGUGAUCACUUAAACGGCCGCGGUAUCCUAACCGUGCAAAGGUAGCAUAAUCAUUUGUUCUUUAAAUAAGGACUCGUAUCAACGGCACCACGAGGGUUGUACUGUCUCCCCCCUCUAAUCAAUGAAACUGACCUCCCCGUGAAGAGGCGGGGAUUUUUAUACAAGACGAGAAGACCCCAUGGAGCUUUAAACCCAAUAAUAUUCUCCUAAUACAUACCCCCUCAAAAUAUGAAGUUAUUAUCUAUUGGUUUUAGGUUGGGGUGACCACGGAGAAAAACAAAACCUCCUUGACGAAUGGUUAAAUCCUAAUCCAAGAGCCACCGCUCUAAGAAUCAAAAAUUUGACGUAACAUGAUCCGGCAACCGAUCAACGAACCAAGUUACCCUGGGGAUAACAGCGCAAUCCAUUUCGAGAGCCCUUAUCGACAAAUGGGUUUACGACCUCGAUGUUGGAUCAGGGUGUCCCAGUGGUGCAGCCACUACUAAAGGUUUGUUUGUUCAACAAUUAAAACCCUACGUGAUCUGAGUUCAGA
rnacentral:rRNA from 1 species